rnacentral:rRNA from 1 species
GACAGGGGUGCCGAGCGUUAGUCGGAAUCACUGGGCUUAAAGCGUGUGUAGGCGGAUCUGUAAGUACAUUGUGAAAUCCCACGGCUCAACCGUGGAACUGCUUGGUAUACUGCGGGUCUUGAGCCACCUAGGGGCAAGUGGAACAAACGGUGGAGCGGUGAAAUGCGUAGAUAUCGUUUGGAACGCCAAUGGUGAAAACAACUUGCUGGGGGUGUGCUGACGCUGAGACACGAAAGCCAGGGGAGCAAACGGG